GUCCACGCCCUAAACGAUGGGUACUAGACGUCGGGAAGCUUGUCUUCUUGGUGUCGCAGCUAACGCAAUAAGUACCCCGCCUGGGGAGUACGGUCGCAAAGAUUAAAAACUCAAAAGGAAUUGACGGGGGCCCGCACAAGUGGUGGAGCAUGUGGUUCAAUUCGAUGCAAACGCGAAAAACCUUACCUGCCCUUGACAUCUGGGGAAUCCUGCAGAGAUGCGGGAGUGCCGCAAGGAACCCCAAGACAGGUGCUGCAUGGCUGUCGU
rnacentral:rRNA from 1 species